rnacentral:rRNA from 1 species
GCGUGGACGAUUUAGCCAUGCUAGUCGCACGAGUUCAGACUCGUGGCGAAUAGCUCAGUAACACGUGGCCAAACUACCCUUCGGAACACAAUACCCUCGGGAAACUGAGGCUAAUAGUGUAUACCAUACCACCACUGGAAUGAGUGGUAUGCCAAACGCUCCGGCGCCGAAGGAUGUGGCUGCGGCCGAUUAGGUAGACGGUGGGGUAACGGCCCACCGUGCCAAUAAUCGGUAUGGGUCAUGAGAGUGAGAACCCAGAGACGGAAUCUGAGACAAGAUUCCGGGCCCUGCGGGGC